UGCUUUGAGUGGAGUGUCCAGAAAAGCGCUUUAUAAGUUCAAAUCACCACUUCUGUACUAGAAUCACCACAUCUGUGCUGAAUUGCUGAAAAUGCUGAAGGUACUGCUUUUCCUGACUCUCUGUGGUCUCAUCAUGGAGCCUGUUACAGGCAUAAUACGUGACACCUUCCAAUGCAAGGCAGACCGGGGAGACUGCCGGCGUUCAGGAUCCUGCUUUACAUAUGAAAAGUGGAUAGGAACCUGCAACAAUGGACUCUGGGCCUGCUGUAAACAAAAAUGAAAAACAUCAUAGAACAACCAGAUUCUCAUGUGCCUUCAUUAACACUGAACCAAACACAAGUUCAACCUGUUGGUUUUCUUGCUUUGAGAAUUGACAUGACUUGUAUUUAACAAGACAUGCCUGUUGUAUUCUGUGUUAAUAAAUGCUUUCAUUGAAAUGCC